ACCGCGUGAGGGAUGAAGGCCUACGGGUUGUAAACCUCUUUUCUCAAGGAGGAAGAUCUGACGUUACUUGAGGAAUAAGCAUCGGCUAACCCUGUGCCAGCAGCCGCGGUAAUACAGGGGAUGCAAGUGUUAUCCGGAAUUAUUGGGCGUAAAGCGUCUGCAGGUUGAUAUUUAAGUCUUUUGUUAAACCUCCGGGCUCAACCCGGAAUCUGCAAAGGAAACUAUCUAUCUUGAGUAUGGUAGGGGUAAAGGGAAUUUCCAGUGGAGCGGUGAAAUGCGUAGAUAUUGGAAAGAACACCAACAGCGAAGGCACUUUACUGGGCCAGUACUGACACUCAGAGACGAAAGCUAGGGGAGCAAACAGGAUUAGAUACCCUGGUAGUCCUAGCUGUAAACGAUGGAUACUAGAUGUUGUGUACCUUAGGGUAUGCAGUGUCGUAGCUAACGCGUUAAGUAUCCCGCCUGGGAAGUAUGCUCGCAAGAGUGAAACUCAAAUGAAUUGACGGG
rnacentral:rRNA from 1 species